rnacentral:misc_RNA from 1 species
AGUACAAGAAACAAUGUGUAAGGAGUAUGAUCUUUCCACAAUCAUUGUCCAUCAUCCACUUGGGGAUGUUAAAAGCUUCCAAAGAAGAUGCCAUAACCAAACCAAAAAUAUGGACACUAACUUCCUCCAAUUUGAGGAUAUGCAACUUUUGCACCAAUGCUUGGGGAUUCAAAUUCCUUCCACAAAUCCAAAAAAAAAAUGCAUCUGAGAG